rnacentral:misc_RNA from 1 species
AACGCAUCUUGCGCUCCUUGGUAUUCUGAGGAGCAUGCCUGUUUGAGUGUCAUUAAAUUCUCAACUACACUGACUUUGAAUUGGUGUGGCUUGGAUUUGGGGGGAAAAUUGUUGUGGGCUUUUUGUAUAGUCUGCUCCCCUGAAAUUGAUUAGCGGUACCUUUGUGGAACUGUCUACAGGUGUGAUAAUUAUCUACAUCCUAGACAUCUGCUGGAAUGCUGCUUUCUAAACCUUACUUGUAUUGACAAUCUUGACCUCAAAUCAGGUAGGACUACCCGCUGAACUUAA